CCUACGGGUAGCAGCAGUGAGGAAUAUUGGUCAAUGGUCGAGAGCCUGAACCAGCCAAGUCGCGUGCAGGAUGACGGUCCUAUGGGUUGUAAACCGCUUUUGCGGGGGAGCAAAAUGCGUUACGUGUGCCGCAUCGCACGUACCCCAUGAAAAAGCACCGGCUAACUCCGUGCCAGCAGCCGCGGUAAUACGGAGGUUGCGGGCGUUAUCCGGAUUUAUUGGGUUUAAAGGGUGCGCAGGCGGCGAGUUAAGUCAGCGGUAAAAUUUCGGGGCUCAACCCCGACAAGCCGUUGAAACUGGCUUGCUAGAGUGGGCGAGACGUAUGCGGAAUGCGUGGUGUAGCGGUGAAAUGCAUAGAUAUCACGAAGAACUCCGAUUGCGAAGGCAGCAUACGGGAGCGCAACUGACGCUCAGGCACGAAAGCGCGGGUAUCGAACAGGAUUAGAUACCCGAGUAGUC
rnacentral:rRNA from 1 species